rnacentral:rRNA from 1 species
AGGAUGAACGCUGGCGGCGUGCCUAAUACAUGCAAGUCGAGCGAACAGACGAGGAGCUUACUCCUCUGACGUUAGCGGCGGACGGGUGAGUAACACGUGGAUAACCUACCUAUAAGACUGGGAUAACUUCGGGAAACCGGAGCUAAUACCGGAUAACAUGUUGAACCGCAUGGUUCAACAGUGAAAGACGGUCUUGCUGUCACUUAUAGAUGGAUCCGCGUCGCAUUAGCUAGUUGGUAAGGUAACGGCUUACCAAGGCAACGAUGCGUAGCCGACCUGAGAGGGUGAUCGGCCACACUGGAACUGAGACACGGUCCAGACUCCUACGGGAGGCAGCAGUAGGGAAUCUUCCGCAAUGGGCGAAAGCCUGACGGAGCAACGCCGCGUGAGUGAAGAAGGUCUUCGGAUCGUAAAACUCUGUUAUUAGGGAAGAACAAAUGUGUAAGUAACUAUGCACGUCUUGACGGUACCUAAUCAGAAAGCCACGGCUAACUACGUGCCAGCAGCCGCGGUAAUACGUAGGUGGCAAGCGUUAUCCGGAAUUAUUGGGCGUAAAGCGCGCGUAGGCGGUUUUUUAAGUCUGAUGUGAAAGCCCACGGCUCAACCGUGGAGGGUCAUUGGAAACUGGAAAACUUGAGUGCAGAAGAGGAAAGUGGAAUUCCAUGUGUAGCGGUGAAAUGCGCAGAGAUAUGGAGGAACACCAGUGGCGAAGGCGACUUUCUGGUCUGUAA